AGCUUUGCGCAGUGGCAGCAUCAUAGCCAGUGAGCUUUACCUGAGGUGUGAUUACUGCUAAUUGAAAACACAAGUUGUAUACUUUAAAUAUACACAAUUUUUUACUUGUCAAUUCAUUAGUUAAAACCUCAAUUAAGG